rnacentral:lncRNA from 1 species
CUAGUCCUUGUCUUUAUAUUUUUGUUUUAGCAGUUUUAGGUACAGCAUAUCUUUGUUUUGGAAACAAAUCAGCUCAAAUAUACUUUAGAAGUUGGAGUAUGAGUUUUCAUUUUAAAAGCUGUGUUGUUAACUUCAGUUUAAAUCAUGAGGCUUUUCCCCCCAUUGACCUACCUUGAAAUGGAAAUGGAGUUGUUCUAAUUAAAUAAAAACUUAGAGAGCACUAGCUACUAGGGAGGUGACUAGAGAGACUGAAUGGCUAGGAAGAGAGGGGUACACCAGAAGGCCACAGAGGACAGAGUAGACAUAAAGAAAGAAAAACAUACCACUUUUGCUUACAGUACUGAGGGAAAUACUAGACACAGAGGAACAGAAGCUGUAUAAACACGGACCUCGACAGAGCUGCCAGGAAAAAAGAGAAAAGCAUUUUUGUCCAAAGUUUCUAGGUCAGAUGUGAUUUACAGUUGGAGACAAGCAUUCCUUCACCACCUUCCCGAACUUUCAGAUCCAUCAUUUGUUCUUUUUAUUUCACUCCCAGAUUUAUGAUUUUCCCCAUUCUAUCAAGUCAUCUCUCCUGAGUACUUAAUUCCUGUCACCCCUCAAAUAGCCUAAACCAAUACUACCUCCACGAGGAAUCCUAUCUACGGCAAUUCAUUUUCUCCAAUAUAACUCGGUCAACCAUUUCUUUCUCUAGCUACAAUGGAGAGUUAAAAAUCAGGAUGGAAGAAGAUGGAAAAACCGAAAAGAAGCAAGAUGGGAAAUGCAAUUAGAAAAAACAGAUUCAUACAACACACUUCAUGAGUUUCCCCCAGCCUGAUCUCUGCUUUGGGGCACGAGGUGGUGUGCACGGGAGAGAGAACAGAUCAGCAACAUGGUGCUGAUGCAGUGAUUUCUGCAGCAAGAAAAGGGCCUCUUUCCUGUCCUUCUGGCAUUGGGAGCGAAAGGGACUUUCUGUCC